AGCGAACGCUGGCGGCAGGCCUAACACAUGCAAGUCGAACGAAGCCUUCGGGCUUAGUGGCGGACGGGUGAGUAACACGUGGGAACGUACCUUUUGGUUCGGAAUAACGCAGAGAAAUUUGCGCUAAUACCGAAUGAGCCCUUAGGGGGAAAGAUUUAUCGCCGAAAGAUCGGCCCGCGUUGGAUUAGGUAGUUGGUGUGGUAAAGGCGCACCAAGCCUACGAUCCAUAGCCGGUCUGAGAGGAUGAUCAGCCACACUGGGACUGAGACACGGCCCAGACUCCUACGGGAGGCAGCAGUGGGGAAUCUUGCGCAAUGGGCGAAAGCCUGACGCAGCCAUGCCGCGUGAAUGAUGAAGGUCUUAGGAUUGUAAAAUUCUUUUACCAGGGACGAUAAUGACGGUACCUGGAGAAAAAGCCCCAGCUAACUUCGUGCCAGCAGCCGCGGUAAAAC
rnacentral:rRNA from 1 species